GACAGAGGGUGCAAACGUUGUUCGGAAUUACUGGGCAUAAAGAGCACGUAGGUGGUGCGCUAAGUCACGUGUGAAAUCCCCCGGCUCAACCGGGGAAUGGCGCGUGAUACUGGCGGACUCGAGGCGGGUAGGGGUGAGCGGAACUCCAGGUGGAGCGGUGAAAUGCGUAGAUAUCGUUUGGAACGCCAAUGGUGAAAACAGGUCGCUGGGGAUGAGCUGACGCUGAGACACGAAAGCCAGGGGAGCAAACGGG
rnacentral:rRNA from 1 species